rnacentral:RNase_P_RNA from 1 species
GAAGCACGCCAGACCGCCGCUGGUGCGCGCCCGAGAAGGCCGCACUGGAGGAAAGUCCGGACUGCACAGGGCAGCGCAGCAGCCAACGGCUGUCCACCGUGAGGUGAGGAUCAGAGCAACAGAGACGAGCCGAUUCAGUUCGGGUGCAACGGGCAAUCUCUGCGCGCAGCAACACCAAGUAGGCCAGCGUUGAUGUGGUCCCGCGGAGCUGGCGGGUAGGUGGCAUCGAGCCGGCGGGGCGACCCCCGGCCCAGAUUGAUGGCGGUCACAUGCGGGCAACCGCAUGCACAGAAUCCGGCUUAUCGGCGGGCUUCACAC